ACCGCCUUAGCUCAGAUCGUAGAGCAGUAGUUUUGUAAACUAUUGGUCGGGGGACGAGUCCCUCAUCAGGCGGCACCA
rnacentral:tRNA from 1 species